UACAGAGGUCCCAAGCGUUGUUCGGAUUCACUGGGCGUAAAGGGUGCGUAGGCGGCGCGGUAAGUCGGGUGUGAAAUCUCGGAGCUUAACUCCGAAACUGCAUUCGAUACUGCCGUGCUUGAGGACUGGAGAGGAGACUGGAAUUUACGGUGUAGCGGUGAAAUGCGUAGAUAUCAGGAGGAACACCGGUGGCGAAGGCGGCUUCCUGGACAAUUACUGACGCUGAGACGCGAAGGCCAGGGGAGCAAACGGG
rnacentral:rRNA from 1 species